AUUACCAUGUUACCAGGCAGGCGUUCCUUCCCUCCCCUACCUCCUCCCCGUCUCUUCGCCGAUGGAGGGCGCCCCGGGGCGAAUCUAGGGCCAGCCCCAAGGAGGGCGACGGCGGGGCACCUGGUUCCUGUCAGCUUGGCGCAGGCGCGCGACGAGCGCUUGGUGCAGCGGCGCUGAGGCAUGGGCUACGGUGCGCAAGAGCGUCGCCGGCGCGAGUUAUUGCCUGGCUUAACGGUGAGGCUGGCAGGGCACCAUGAUGCGAUCUGACCACCCCCCGCCUUGCUUUCGCCGGAUGCGGCUUCUCUCCACUCCUCAUGCAUCCGCCAUGUCUGCCGAUUCGUCACACGCCCAUGCAUGAUGAUUUCAGAAGUACAAUCAAAUGGAAGGCUGGAGGAAGAUUUUUGAAAUGGCAAAGUCGCCAGCAAGGACAUGAGACAUGAGGUCUGACUUGUUUCUUCAUAGGGGACAAAGGUGUCCUCUUCAUAAUGGUCAGGGACAGAACUUCCAGCUUGACAUAUUUGGGUUUUAACUAUCUCUUUUGUUUUUUGCCUUCACUGUUAUUGCUUUUGUCAGAUAUCUUAUUUCUUAAAGUCAGACUCCAAUGUUUUGUUUUGGAUAUGCGCAUUUCAUAUUAGUCAAGACGUGCAUUGACCAUUGAUCCUUACUUUAGAGGCUUUAGUAAUUACCUCAGUUUUAUACGAUUAACAAGGUAUCAAUAUUCUUCUCCUUCAGCUAUGUAUAGUCAGGAUUCACAAGUAAGGAGAAGAGGCAAGAGGCUAUUGAUGGAAUCAUUUCUUUGUUGUUUGUCUUGUUUCGUGACAUUCAGUAGCAUCAUAAUUAGCAAAUUGUGAGUGAGUUUGCCUGCUUUGCUAUAUUCGGAAGUUCUCUACAUGCAGUGGUUACUGAUUGUGAGGGUCACUAUUUUUAUUUGGUACUUGGGUUGAUUUAGCUGAGAAUGAUUCACAUACUUGAAACUUUUUAUAUAGGACAUGAUAAUAGCAUGUUGGUUAGGGUAAGAAUAUCUUUACUGAUCCCUAUUUGGUUCAGUUGACAUCUUUUAGUACGAUGUAUGUGUAGCACAUCCUUAAAUAUCUGUAGCCUCGAUAUCAUCAGUCAACUAUGUGACGUGCACCUUCUGCUUGAGCAGAUGAACCAGCCACUGCCCUAGAUGUUGCGCCGUGCUCCAGUCCUGUUCUGCUGGUUCUAACCAAGCACAUCAAACCAAGACCGACUGCUCUAUUGUUGUGAUCGGGCAAUACAAUAUUGGUAUAUAUAUAUGCCUUAUAUAGUGCCUUUUUGCAUUACUUUUGUUAUAUCUGUGGACUGUGCACAUGAGUUUCUUCUUAUCUUUACUCAUUAAUUUUCAUUCUAUUUCAAGGUUGGUAGCUUCCCUCAUCUUGGUUCUUGUUUUAGGGUUCAAGCCGAGUGAAUAUUAUUUGUGAUCCAAAUGACUGGUUUUAGUGUCGAUGAUGCUCUAGGACACCUCCCACAUUAGUUCUCUACUGCAAUCAUUCAACCACCCGACUAGACGGACGUCUUUGUGCUCUCCCACCAUUAUUUAACCUGAUAAAGUCACCCAUAAGCACAGUAUGCCCCAACUUUUUUUCUUUUUCCAAAUUCAUUAAAUUUGGAUUAUCGGUUGUCCUUUACUGCUAUCAAUCCAUGGCAAGAAGUAAUGCAACUAAACUACUUCUCCGAGUUUGGUGGGCAGUAAAUCAAUAGGAUUAUUGCCGCAUAGUUGAUUAUCUGAUGUAAUAGUGUGUUUAUGGUCAGAUAAUUCUCGCACUGGUUAUUUGAAUAAUAAAUGUAGAAUUUGGCGUGUUAUGUACCUCAUCGAGCAAGUACUUGUUCUUGAUAUGCCACCCAUAUAUAUUUUAAGUUAGUUGUUUUAGUUGGACUGAUAAUUUGGUAAUGCAGACAAAACACAUAAUGAUUGGGUACAUUGAAAAGCAUUUUCAAAAGGCAUAGGGUGAUUUACUUCAUGUUAGCAGUAAAAUAACCUUUCACUGUCAUGAUGUCAUCAGUUUACAAAGUGUGCAACCUGCCCUGCAUGCUAAUGUCUCGGUUUUUGUGUGCUACUAUGUUUACUGUCUACGUUGGCGAUGAGGCAGGGAAGGUAAGUGGGGCUAACCUGCUGGCCGGAGUAAAAAUAAUGUCCAAGUUUUUCAUUAAUGUUUGAGGGCGUAUGGUCUUGAUGCUGCUUAAGCUUGGCAUAUGGCUAUCAAUGUAGGUGUUUCUUGAGUCGUUGUCAUCUUCUUCGCCACCGGUUUGGUAACCAUCUCGGCUUCCUUCUCUGCUCCUGCAUAUGUGUCAUGUUUGUAACGAGAAAUGGAGAGCAGGUUAGAGAAGUUAGUAAUUAUUGAUAAUAAUAAUGUGAUGCAGAAAUGCAUGUUAGCUACACAGCUGUUCCCAGUAAGGAAUUAUUUUACAAUAGAAAUGCAUAUAUUGUGGAUUCAUGACUAAACAAGUUUGCAUGCACAUCCCUGAAAAUACAGCAGAGCCUUCAAUCUUGAAGAGUUAUGAAUUCUUCAGGUGUUGCUUUGGAAAUGAAUGUCAUUUGAAUGCUUGCUUAAUGUAGGUGUAUAUGUAAGAUCUGAAACUGAUCAAUACUAUUUCUAAUAUGAAAUUUGGGCAUAUAAGUGGCUCUUAAUUAUAUAUAGAAUUAAAAAUGAAUGUACGGUAGCAGCAUAUGUUCAGGUUGAGGGUACGAAACGACGUGCGUUUCACAUAUAUAAUUGUAAUAUUAGUUGAGAUGUGUGUUGCACGUGCACAUUUACUAGUAGUGCUUAAUAGUGCUUAAAGAGCUGUAGAGGAGCUCUGGCACUGUGCUGCCACUUGGUUUCGGGUUUCCUCUUCGGUGUGUGCCGGAACUGGAAGGUAACACUAGUCAUAGUCGAAAAUGCAAUGGCGUGUUCCUGCUUGCCUGCACACGUUAUCGCGAGGCGUCCAUUCUUGGCGGGAUGCCGGACAGCCGCGGUAUUUCAGGGAUGCAUACGCCGAUCAUUUAAAGUCCAUAAGCUGGACGGAAGAGCCAACGUCUACGGUGCGUGCAGACGGACAAGUAAAGGCCCAGAGAUGGCGUUUGGACACUGUACCAACGAUGGGAUUUGGCAUUAACUACAAUUUAUUUAUUUUCUAUUGUUUGCUAACAACUUCUUCCUAAAUCUAGGAAUGAUUAAUUAAGCCAUUUUAUUUGUUUCCAAUUGCGAGGAUCAAUGCUUCUGA